rnacentral:rRNA from 1 species
UACGGAGGGGGCGAGCGUUAUUCGGAAUUAUUGGGCGUAAAGGGCGCGUAGGCGGCCCGGUAAGUCAAAGGUGAAAUCCCUCGGCUCAACUGAGGAACUGCCUUUGAAACUGUCGGGCUUGAGGCCGGGAGGGGGUAGCGGAAUUCCCAGUGUAGCGGUGAAAUGCGUAGAUAUUGGGAGGAACACCAGUGGCGAAGGCGACUCUUUGGUCUGUAACUGACGCUGAGGCGCGAAAGCGUGGGGAGCAAACAGG